rnacentral:lncRNA from 1 species
AGUAAAAAUGUCGUUUCCUCGAGACUGUCUGACCUUGUUUCUCUUAGUUUGCUCCUUAUCAGAUACCAGUCACCAUCCUUGGACAGACCCUUGCAACUCAGUGCCUUCACAGGGAGUCAAGAUGGCUUUAACUGGCUGUGAUGCUUUUGGUUUGCGUGACCUGACAAAAAGCUGUGUCACGUCAAUUUAUAGACUGGUGGGAUGCCACUGUAUUGAGAUCAUCGUGUUCAGUUUGGUGCAAGUUACUCAGUGUCUUGCCACGGCUUUUCUGAGCAGACAUCCUGCAGAUAUCUGGUUCUCACAGCACAGCGGCAUUCUUUCCCUGGCAAGGAAGAGAGCUGGAAGGCUGGUUCUGCACAUCUGGCAGAAGGCAAAUGUCUUUGGACAAGAUUUUGUAGAAGAAAACCAUGUCCAUGGUGAGGAGUAUCUGGAUAUAAAUUUGGAAUAUGUGUAGACUGAGAGCACAAAACUUCUUUGUGGGAUAAAACUGCUUGAUACACAAAUAGCACUGAGUAUUUUGACUGAAGCUUGUUAUUUUGUCUGCUUCACAAAAACUCAGCAACUGUUCCCAGAUAGCUAUAAUGGAAUUUUUCUUAGCUGUGUAUAUGAAGUUUCAGUUGCUGUGCAGCAUCUUAAUACAAGCCUCUAAAAGCUAUGUUAAACAUUUAAAGUGCACUUAAUCAUCUGCCAGAAAUGUACAAAGGCAUAAUAUCUCAUUAAUAAUUAUUAAAUCAUUGAGUYGUGCAGAGAGAGAUGUUCCGUCUUAACUUGCAUAGUGGUAAAACACAGGUCAUUUACCAAGCAUGCAAUAGCACAUCAGAUAUUGGACUUCUGUUGAAAGGAAAUAACAGAGCUUUAUUAGAGGAUAUGUCUUAGUAAAGGAAGCAAGUACAUGGUGAUUGAAACAAUGUUCAGCCAUAGCAAACAAUCUAGUUUCUAUACUCC